UUCAGUCGUUGGCAAUUCGUUAGAUAAGAAACAAGGAUCAAACUCGUACAACCAAAGAAGGUGAAUAAUUGGGACAGGGUCGAUAACUGGUACGCUUAUCUGACAGGUCCGAAUGGUUAUAUGAUCAGGUUUUGACCCCCGGUUAGUGAGGCGAGUUAAAAUGUGCAAGGAGUCCAACCGUGCACCUGCAAAGGUUGAUUCUAAAACCGGAAUAGUGUGUACAAGGAUACAUAUUGGUUUAGAUUGUUAUCGCGGUAGAAAACCAGAAGCGUUGAACAGGUGGAAUGCGUUAUAAUUUGUUUGUUAUACUGUGAGCUAUUGCCGUGUGGUAUAAUAAUCGCGCGUUACACUGCAAAAUGUCAUUCAUCGCCAUUGCAACGUGUGUACUUUCAUAAUUUCGUUGCGUGACGGCGCGGUACGUAGAAUUAGCAGCUGGUAUAAAGUGGUAUAAAUGUGGAAGUGCGACAGCGACACCGGCGAGUUCUUGUAGAGUCAAGCUCGCAUAGCAACGUCGUGAAAGAAGGAAGCCGUCCAGAUGGGGAGGAUGACGUUACGGGACACGAGAAAAAUGUAAACUGACGAGGCGACGACGAGCUGUGUAACCUUUCUUGUUCGUAAACCGUUAAAGUGGUGUUGCCCCCUUAUAAGGAGAGGUGGGAGUAUCGACCGCAGAGUUUUCAAACGUGAGUUCGUGAUGGGCUACUUCAAGAAAAGUUGAAAAAACACGCUUGUAGCUGAUUUUCGCUCGGUAAAAUAUGAAGGCCCGGCAUCGACUUGGCCAUUUUAGUCGAACAUUAUUGCGCCGAGUCAACUUUUAUAACAAGAUAGUAUUCUAUGGUUCUUGGGCUCGCUGAAUACGAGUCUGAAAAAUGAUUUCAAAAAUUCAAGAUGGCAUGGAUCCAAUAUGGCCGAAGAAAAUUUCAAAUUCGAUCAAACAGGGUCAAAAGACUCUAUGCAAGGGUUUUAGGGGUCGCUGAUUGGAUUUGCCAUACUAAAUUUACAUAAUCCGAUUUCAGACUGGUAAUCAGCGACCCCAAGAACCUUUGCACAGAGUUUUUUGAUCGUCUUCGAUCGAAAU